rnacentral:rRNA from 1 species
CCUACGGGUGGCAGCAGUCGAGAAUCAUUCACAAUGGGGGAAACCCUGAUGGUGCGACGCCGCGUGGGGGAAUGAAGGUCUUCGGAUUGUAAACCCCUGUCAUGUGGGAGCAAAUUAAAAAGAUAGUACCACAAGAGGAAGAGACGGCUAACUCUGUGCCAGCAGUCGCGGUAAUACAGAGGUCUCAAGCGUUGUUCGGUAUCACUGGGCGUAAGGCGUGCGUAGGCUGUUUCGUAGUUCGUGGGUGAAAGGCGCGGGCUAAACCCGCGGACGACACAUGAUACUGCGAGACUAGAGUAAUGGAGGGGGAACCGGAAUUCUCGGUGUAGGAGUGAAAUGCGUAGAUAUCGAGAGGAACACUCGUGGCGAAGGCAGGUUCCUGGACAUUAACUGACGCUGAGGCACGAAGGCCAAGGGAGCGAAAGGGAUUAGAUACCCCGGUAGUC